CAAACAUAUUUCCUGAGUGAAAUGUAGGCUUCCAUUUAUCAUUUCACUGUGACUUGAACAUUUCUUGAAGUUAAGAAUCAAGAACGUUAUUUAGACGAUACUCCAGAGAUGAACUCUGCUCCAGGCUUAGUGACUGUGGUACUCUUAAUGCUUGGACAAACCUAUGGAGACUCAGUGACCCAGAUGGAAGGCCAAGUGACCCUCUCAGAAGGGACUUCCCUGACUAUAAACUGUACUUAUUCAGCCAGCAGGUAUCCCACCCUUUUCUGGUAUGUUCAAUAUCCUGGAGAAGGUCCACGGCUCCUCCUGAGAGCCACGAAGGCCAAUGAGAAGGGAAGCGACAAUGGUUUUGAAGCCACAUAUGAUACAGAAACCACCUCCUUCCACUUGGAGAAGGCCUCAGUCCAAGAGUCAGACUCCGCUGUGUACUACUGUGCCCUGAGUGACACAGUGACGGGAGCUGCAGGGGGAGCUGAGCACAAACUCUGAGCAGCAACAAGGGGCCUGGCUGCUGAGUGUCUCUGACUGUUUGAUCCACUCUGGUUUCAUCACAGUCUGUGGUUGUUGGUCCCUCAGUCUCUGGUUGAUACAAAAAUCAUGCAAAUGGCUAGAG